rnacentral:rRNA from 1 species
AACAAACGCUGGCGGCGUGCCUAAUACAUGCAAGUCGAACGGGGAAAGCUUUCGGGUGAGUACUAGUGGCGCACGGGUGAGUAACGCGUGGAUAAUCUGCCUUGAAGAGGGGGAUAACCAGUCGAAAGAUUGGCUAAUACCGCAUAAGACCACAGGAACUGAGGUUCUAGAGGUCAAAGGUUUUGCGCUUCAAGAUGAGUCCGCGUAAGAUUAGCUAGUUGGCGAGGUAACGGCUCACCAAGGCGACGAUCUUUAACUGGUCUGAGAGGAUGAUCAGUCACACUGGAACUGAGACACGGUCCAGACUCCUACGGGAGGCAGCAGUAGGGAAUAUUGCACAAUGGAGGAAACUCUGAUGCAGCGACGCCGCGUGAGUGAUGAAGGCCUUCGGGUCGUAAAGCUCUGUCGCAGGGGAAUAACACAAUGAAGGUACCCUGUAAGAAAGGAUCGGCUAACUUCGUGCCAGCCGCCGCAGUAAAAC